UGGGUAACCUGCCUCAAAGAGGGGAAUAGCCUCCCGAAAGGGAGAUUAAUACCGCAUAAUAUGUUUAAGUCGCAUGACUUUAACAUCAAAGGAUUUUCUUUUAGAAAUUCCACUUUGAGAUGGACCCGCGGCGCAUUAGCUAGUUGGUGAGGUAACGGCUCACCAAGGCAACGAUGCGUAGCCGACCUGAGAGGGCAUCGGCCACACUGGGACUGAGACACGGUCCAGACUCCUAGGAG
rnacentral:rRNA from 1 species